rnacentral:lncRNA from 1 species
ACCGAGCUUCUACAAUAAGCGGUCUCCCUUCAGCCUUCUACAAGAACCAGACUCCGUCCGAACUCCCAUAACGGAUGGAUAUCGGACGAGCUUCUACGACGGACGGACUCCGACAGUUGGAUUCCUACAACGAUCGAUCGCCUCCGAUGUCUGCCGAACCUCUCCAAUGCCAUCCGAAGUCCAUCGCCGGUCGACCCUCCACCAGAUCCUUCAUGAAUCCGGACUUCUCCAAUGGAUCAUCUUCAGACGAGCUUCCACAUCAGGCGAAUCCCAGACGGACUUCUCUAGCAAUCGGACUCCUACCGGGCUUCGCCAACAGAAAGUUUCCAUCCGAGCUUCUACAGCAGACGACUCCCACCUGUAGUAUCAGCAUCUAAGGUAUCCAACAAUAGUAGACUUGUCAGCAGUUUUGGAGACAUCCGAACUUCUCCCAGACCAACAACAGAGAGCCAUUCCGCUCCAUCAGAUGUCCUAGCCGAGCUCCAGCCGACGGAUCCGAACUUUUUGGCAAGUCACGACAAUGGCCACUAUCUUGCUCCACUCUCUGCAACGGAUUCCACGUAGCUCUACUACUCUCUAGCAAGUCGCGACAACGGACGCCGCUCCACUCUCCGGGCUCCAAUACUCUCUGGCAAGUUGCGACAACGGACACCACUCCACUCUCCG